rnacentral:rRNA from 1 species
AUUGAACGCUGGCGGCAGGCCUAACACAUGCAAGUCGAGCGAGCGGCGGACGGGUGAGUAAUGUAUGGGUAUCUGCCUGCUGGACGGGGAUAACUACUGGAAACGGUCGCUAAUACCGCAUACCAUCAUUUGAACCCAUAUGGGAGUAGCUUAUAGGUGAGGUAACGUCUCACCUAGGCUACGAUCCCUAGCUGGUCUGAACGGAUGAUCAGCCACACUGGGACUGAGAACAGGCCCAGACUCCUACGGGAGGAAGCGGAGGGGAAUAUUGCACAAUGGGCGCAAGCCGAAUGCAGCCAUGCCGCGUGUAUGAAGAAGGCCUUAGGGUUGUAAAGGACUUUCAGUCGGGAGGCGUUACCGACAGAAGAAGCACCGGCUAACUCCGUGCCAGCAGCCGCGGUAAUUC